AGCUUUGAGGCGCAGCGGAAGCGCGCCGGGCGUAUAGCCCGGCGGUCCUCCGAUCGAAACGGAGUAAAGCUA